CUGCUUCACAAGCACAAGGUCCCAAGUUCAAUCCCUGGUACCACAAAAAAAAAAGAUUUCUCCUCCACCUGUUGCCAAUCAGAAGGUACCAAGUGCAAAAGAAAAAAAGGAGUGAGGAUACAGUUCAGUGGUGGAGUGCUUGCCUGGCAUGGGCCAAGGCCCUGGGGCUCUAUCCCUGGGAGAAGGGAGAGGGACAAGCUGUACAAUGAGAAUGGCAAGGAAUGCAGCUAGGACCGGGACAAAAAAAAGGCUUCCCUGGGGCCUCCAGAACUGCUCUCAUCCCCCGCAGCCUAAAUCCAGGGCUUGCUGACUGGGGAUGGCGCCUCUUCCUCUUCACUCCCCCCAUACCCUCCCCUGGCCCACCAUGACCAAGUGCUUUCUCGUCUCACACUCAGGGACUUGAGUGUCACUGGAGAGAGCAGUGACCCUGGGGACACAGUAGAUUCCUAGUCUACAGUUCUUCAGGGAAUAUUGGGCCCUUCUGUUAUCCUCCCUGUGCUCAGGUCAUUGCCCUCUCUCCUUCCUCCCAUCAGCCCUGCCAAAGCUUCAAAUUCCCCAUCUCUCCAGUUUGCUUCCCCUCAUCUGAGCAGACACAGGAGUUAGGACUGGAGCACCUUCCACUUGCCCAUGGGCGUCCACAACCUCCAGCUCAGCCAGAGCUGCCAGCACUCUGGUCCCCUCUCUUCCUUUUGGUUUUACCUUCUUUCCCCUUGGUAUAUGCUAUUUCUUUCCUCCCCCUCUCCCUCUAGUUUUUCUACAGUGUUGGGGAUGGAAGCCAGGGAGUCGCACGUGCCAGGCACGUGCUCUACACUGAGCUCCUGGCACAGGCUGUUUCACACACAACCCACUCAACCACAGGGUCCCCUUACCCAACUACUUCCCUUUUUCUUCCCUAUCACAGGCAAGAUUCUAAAAAGAUCUCCUACACUUCCUGAGCAUAUUUUUCUUUUCUUACCGGGGAUCGAACUCAGGACCAUGUACUUGCAAGACAGGCGGUGGCACCACUGAGCUAAAUCCCCCAGCCUAAGCAUAUUUUUUUAACCUUCUAUUUACUUCUCAGCUCACUGCAACGACCUUCCUGCCCCAGUUUUCAAAUGAUGCUCGUGCCAAGGUCCCCAGUGAUCUUGUGGUCAGACCCAAGCACAUCCCCACCAUAAUCUCCUGACUUCUUUUGCCCCCUUCCCAACACACAGCACCUCAGACCCUGUGCUUGGCCUCUGCUUACUCCCUUGAUACUCUCACUCCCGAUGCUCUGCAGUGAGCACUUGGGUCCUCCUCCUUGCAGCCUCUCCAUGGCAACGCACAGCCUAUCAAUCUUCAAAGGCAUGCUUGUAGCCUGCCUUGUCCGAUAGCCGCCCCCAACCCAGGCCUGGUCCUCUAGAAGGUUCUGUGCUGGGCUAAGUGCACACAGUGCCUCCAGUAUCACUGUCGAUGCCCCAGCCUCUCCCAUGACUCCUGAAGGCUGGGCUCACAUCUGAUCUCUCCUCUGGUCUUCAGUAUCUACACCUCAGGAAGGACCAGCAAGUGUGCAUGACAUAAAUGAAUGACUCAAGGGUUCAUUACCACCCAUACCUUAGUUACCUCCAAAGUGAUCAUCUGCAGCCCAUCCCUCUCAUACUUCCAACAACAAACACAUCUACCUUCAGACAUGUCAGCCUCCAGCAGGUGUCUCUAAAAAUCAUCUCAAAUUUUGCCCCUGCACACCAAUAGUGUCGUCUCCCCCCACCUGACUCUGCUCUCCCUCUUCUCCAUAACACAAAAAAUCACCUGGUCUGCAAGCUAGAAAUCUAGGAAUCAGCCUGAAGUCUGGCUUCUCUCUGUUCCUUCAUAUCCAGUGUCACAGUGCUCUCAUUUCUGCCUCCUUAAUUUCUUUCCAAUCUCUCCUUUGCAGCUCUACCCUUGUCAUUUUUCACCUGGGCCCUGGUGACCUUUGAACCUGUAACCUGAUCUCCUCAUUCUGUAAGACAGCCUCAGAUAAAACCCCAGGAUGGGCCUAGGAUUUAGCUCAGUGGUUCUGCCUCCUGCCUGGCAAGCACAAGGUCCCAAAUUCAAUCCCCAGUACCAAAAACAAAAAGACCCCAGGAGCCACAGAUUAAGUGUGAAUCCCUUGGCCCAGCAGAUGAGGCCUCUCAGGGAUAGGGCCUUACUGUUCCCUGCUGUCCCUUUAUCGGCUUCCCCAAACGCAGCAGGCUUUGCUUGAACUAACCCUUUCCACUACCUUCACAAUGAAGAAAUAUGUAGAGCUUCUGUUGGGCACUGUGGCACACACCUGUCAUCCCAGCACUUAGGAGGCUAGGCAGAGGAUCACUGAGAACUGGAGGUCAGGCUGGGUUAUGUAGCAAGGCCCUAUCUCAAAAAACAUUUGGAACUACCACUCCUCCACCCACUCCACUACUCUUGGCCAUCUUGGCCGUGGAGAGGCUUGUUUAUGCAUAGUGGUCCACUUUGGUGCACAUGAAGGCCUGAGGAUGGGACUGCUGCAUUCUGCUCAGCUGUGCUUUCCAGUACCAGAGAGCCUUCAGAAAUGUUUGCCAAAUAUCUAAAUGAAUAGACAGUGGAGCUGGUUCUAACACUCCUGCUGGCACACCUGCCUGCACCUGCAAGUUUUUCUGUCUCAACCUCCGCAGGAGUUUAGGACCCUGAAAUUAAAAGCAAUGAUAUAAACAGGAGUUUCUUUCAGUGUCAUUGUUCACAACCUGCUUGAGCUGCUAGCUGCUAGGAGACACUCCUUUCUAAGGCUCAAAGGCUGAGGCUAUAAGGGGUUUUCAUGGCCUCUAUACAAAUUGUGAAAAAUCACUUGAAUUCAACUAAAUCCAAUUUUGUGGCAGGACAAAGGCCUGUGUCAGAUGUCUGCUGAGAGCUUCUUUAGUUUUCCAACCUCUCCUUUGUAGAUUUGGUCCUUUCUAUUUCAUUUUUCUUAAUACUCAGCAGUUGCAUAUUAAUCAGGAUGCUAAUGAAUCAUAGGCUUUCCUGGGUCUGCAUUCACCAAUUAGCUUUAAUAAACAAAAUGCAUGGUGUCCUCUCUGCUGGCUUCCCUGGCUCCCAGGCCAGCUUCUGGAGCAAGGCCAGAGAAUGGAAGCAAGUCUGACCCAAGCAUGCCUGGUGUGGCCUGCAUGGAGAAGGGUGGGGGUUGGGGGCUCUGAACACAUCACUGCACUCAUCCAUUAUGUCUGUCCUUCCAAGGAGUCCCUGAUUCGGCUUUGAGGAUUAGGACCUAGUUCCCUGGCAAGGCCCAGUCUGGCAGGGGGCCCGGAAAAUGGGUCUAAGCGAAAAGCCCAUCUGUUCACUCCAGGUAAAGCUGUGAUUGGCAGGCAUGUGCGCCAGCACCACCCGCUGCUGUCCUCUCCCUGUGUGGCCUCAAACAGAUACACAAAUAAACAAUCCGCCAGCCACUUCUGACCACCACAGGCGGUACAGUCCCAGGAGAGACAGGCUAAUCAAACACAUGAGGAGGAACACAACAGCAUCCCUGGCACUUGGGCACAGCCAUGUUUUGCUGAAGUACUGCCAGGAAGGGGGAGGUUUGAAUUGAAGCUGAUGAGCUGCUUCCUCGCCCUCUACUUUUCGCCCCUGAAAUGUGUUAACAUUUUAAUCAUGUUGCUGAGUGGCUGCUGCUGGAUCUAUUAACUGGCCCCUGCACUGAUUUUUAAUCCAUCUGGUUUCUGGCCCAACGCUGUUGUGGAGCUCCUUGAAAUCUUUAAGUGAUCUGCAAUGUCUGUCUCUUCAUCACACAAACUCAGGUCUAAGUGUUCUAUCUGGAGCAAGAUUAUCAGACUGUAGUCAUUUCUUCCCUCUCUGGUCUCUACUUGCUGGCACAGAACUGGAAACCAUUCCACUCUGCUUUUCCAUCAAGGACUGGGAUAGACAGGGGACGCUUUGUAUCUGGAGUCCUCAGGGACCUGUCCUAAGCCACGCCUCAUACUGUCCCUAUGUGGACCUGUUCAUCCCACAGCUGACACCAAAACAAUGACUGCCCCAGCCAUCAUGUCCAGCCCCUGCCCUACCCUGAGUUCUGGAUCAGAAAAUCCACUGGGCUAUACAUAUUUAUGUGGAUGCUCCCAGGCACCUCAAAAACAAAAACAAGGGCAAAAAUGGAACUUGCGUUUUCUCUGUUGCAGAAGCCAGUACCUGUGAGAAACUAUAAGCCAGAAAGUUGGGGGCAAAGGCCUGCCGUAAGUGCUGAACAACUGGCUUUGGGGAUCGGGAAGAGACCUGAUUUGUAAUAUUUGCUAGCAGCCAUAGUACAAAGACCCCCACCAGAGCCACCGUCAAACUACCAACAUGAAGUGACUAUGUGCCAGCUUGGAAGGAAGUAUGUGCAAUCAGCUCUGGCAGGCAGGGAGGAGCCUGCUCCAGCACACCAUGGCUGGAGACAUCCCUGUCAUCUACUUCCUCAGCUUUUCCCUUUCUCCUGGCUGGAUGCUAACAGCUGCUGGACCUCCAACUCCAUCCAUCCUCCCAGACCCUCUCCACAAAGUAGCCGGGGUAUCUUUAAGACAGGCACCUGAGCACUUCUCUUCUGUGCCCCAGCAGUUCUCCUCCCAGAACUGCCAGUAUGAAACCUGAGUACACAGAAGGCUGACUGCCAGGCAUGGUGGCACAUGCUUGUAAUCUCAGCAUUUGGGAGGCUGAGGCAGGAGGAUCACAAAUUCAAGCACCCAGCACCAUUCCUGGCACUGAGGAUGUUCCAGCCACCCUGAAACAGGAGCUCCAAGAAAACUGGGCAUGGUUGGUGGUGCAUGACCCAGUCCCAUCUUGAGUUCGAACCCAGCCUGGGCAACUUACAGAUAUCCUGCUUCAAAAUGAAAACACAGGGCUAGGGA